GUGGGGAAUAUUGGACAAUGGGCGCAAGCCUGAUCCAGCCAUGCCGCGUGAGUGAUGAAGGCCUUCGGGUUGUAAAGCUCUUUAGUCCACGAAUAUAAUGACUGUAGUGGAAGAAUAAGCCCCGGCUAACUUCGUGCCAGCAGCCGCGGUAAUACGAAGGGGGCGAGCGUUAUUCGGAAUCACUGGGCGUAAAGCGUGCGUAGGCUGUUUUGUAAGUCAGAAGUGAAAGCCCAGGGCUUAACCCUGGAAUUGCUUUUGAAACUACAAGACUCGAAUUCGGGAGAGGAUAGCGGAAUUGUCAGUGUAGCAGUGAAAUGCGUAGAUAUUGACAGGAACACCAGUGGCGCAAGCGGCUAUCUGGACCGAUAUUGACGCUGAGGCACGAAAGCGUGGGGAGCAAACAGGAUUAGAAACCCCAGUAGUCC
rnacentral:rRNA from 1 species